rnacentral:rRNA from 1 species
UGGGGAAUAUUGGACAAUGGGGGGAACCCUGAUCCAGCCAUGCCGCGUGUGUGAAGAAGGCCUUAUGGUUGUAAAGCACUUUAAGCGAGGAGGAGGCUACUCUAGUUAAUACCUAGGGAUAGUGGACGUUACUCGCAGAAUAAGCACCGGCUAACUCUGUGCCAC